rnacentral:other from 1 species
ACCAGACUGCUCAGCGCGCAUCAGUCAUCGCGUGGCGUUUCGAGCUUGAAGUCCUUUGGUACUCAGUCCGUCAUUCCCCGAUCGCGAUUGUCGCAACUUUGGGCAAACGCCCCUUAUGUAAACUUUGAUUUGGGAACUUCAGACAUGGCAACUGGUACCGUCAAGUGGUUCAACGACGCCAAGGGCUUCGGCUUCAUCACCCCGGACAACGGUGGCGAGGACCUCUUCGCGCACUUCUCCGCGAUUCAGGGCUCGGGUUUCAAGAGCCUGACCGAAGGCCAGAAGGUUCAGUACGACGAGACCUCCGGCCCGAAGGGCAAGCAGGCGGGCAACAUCCGCCCGAUGUAAUCCGCCUCGCGGCAGGAUUCGAAUGAUGAAGGCCCGGCUCUGCCGGGCCUUUUUCU